rnacentral:rRNA from 1 species
AAGUCGAGCGAACGGACGAGAAGCUUGCUUCUCUGAUGUUAGCGGCGGACGGGUGAGUAACACGUGGAUAACCUACCUAUAAGACUGGGAUAACUUCGGGAAACCGGAGCUAAUACCGGAUAAUAUUUUGAACCGCAUGGUUCAAAAGUGAGAGACGGUCUUGCUGUCACUUAUAGAUGGAUCCGCGCUGCAUUAGCUAGUUGGUAAGGUAACGGCUUACCAAGGCAACGAUGCAUAGCCGACCUGAGAGGGUGAUCGGCCACACUGGAACUGAGACACGGUCCAGACUCCUACGGGAGGCAGCAGUAGGGAAUCUUCCGCAAUGGGCGAAAGCCUGACGGAGCAACGCCGCGUGAGUGAUGAAGGUCUUCGGAUCGUAAAACUCUGUUAUUAGGGAAGAACAUAUGUGUAAGUAACUGUGCACAUCUUGACGGUACCUAAUCAGAAAGCCACGGCUAACUACGUGCCAGCAGCCGCGGUAAUACGUAGGUGGCAAGCGUUAUCCGGAAUUAUUGGGCGUAAAGCGCGCGUAGGCGGUUUUUUAAGUCUGAUGUGAAAGCCCACGGCUCAACCGUGGAGGGUCAUUGGAAACUGGAAAACUUGAGUGCAGAAGAGGAAAGUGGAAUUCCAUGUGUAGCGGUGAAAUGCGCAGAGAUAUGGAGGAACACCAGUGGCGAAGGCGACUUUCUGGUCUGUAACUGACGCUGAUGUGCGAAAGCGUGGGGAUCAAACAGGAUUA